rnacentral:rRNA from 1 species
AGAUGGUGAACUAUGCCUGAAUAGGGCGAAGCCAGGGGAAACCCUGGUGGAAGCCCGCAGCGAUUCUGACGUGCAAAUCGAUCGUCAAAUUUGGGUAUAGGGGCGAAAGACUAAUCGAACCGUCUAGUAGCUGGUUCCCUCCGAAGUUUCCCUCAGGAUAGCUGGAGCCCGGUGCAGUUUUAUCAGGUAAAGCGAAUGAUUAGAGGUCUUGGGGUCGAAACGACCUCAACCUAUUCUCAAACUUUAAAUGGGUAAGAGGUCCGGCUUGCUCGGCUGAAGUCGGACGUGGAAUGCCGGGGCUCCUAGUGGGCCAUUUUUGGUAAGCAGAACUGGCGAUGUGGGAUGAACCGAAAGCCGGGUUAAGGUGCCCGAAUCGACGCUCAGCAGAUACCAGGAAAGGUGUUGGUAUUCUGCUGAGCGCCAUCGGGCACCUUACCCGGCUUUCGGUUCACCCACAUCGCCGUUCUGCUUACCAAAAAGGCCCACUAGGAGCCCCGGC